rnacentral:rRNA from 1 species
AACGAACGCUGGCGGCGUGCUUAACACAUGCAAGUCGAACGGAUCAAGGGGCUUGCUCCUUGAUUAGUGGCGCACGGGUGAGUAACGCGUGGAUAAUCUGCCUGAUGAUCUGGGAUAACAUCUCGAAAGGGGUGCUAAUACCGGAUAAGCCCACGGGAUCUUCGGAUCUUGCGGGAAAAGAGGGGGACCUUCGGGCCUCUUGUCAUCAGAUGAGUCCGCGUACCAUUAGCUAGUUGGCGGGGUAAAGGCCCACCAAGGCUACGAUGGUUAGCUGGUCUGAGAGGAUGAUCAGCCACACUGGAACUGAGACACGGUCCAGACUCCUACGGGAGGCGGCAGUGGGGAAUUUUGCGCAAUGGGGGAAACCCUGACGCAGCAACGCCGCGUGAGUGAUGAAGGCCUUCGGGUCGUAAAGCUCUGUCUAGAGGAAAGAAGUGUGAGGAGGCUAAUACCCUUUUCACUUGACGGUACCUCUGAAGGAAGCACCGGCUAACUCCGUGCCAGCAGCCGCGGUAAUACGGAUGGUGCGAGCGUUGUUCGGAAUUAUUGGGCGUAAAGCGCGUGUAGGCGGUUUCUUAAGUCUGAUGUGAAAGCCCCGGGCUCAACCUGGGAAGUGCAUUGGAUACUGGGAGACUUGAAUACGGGAGAGGGUAGUGGAAUUCCUAGUGUAGGAGUGAAAUCCGUAGAUAUUAGGAGGAACACCGGUGGCGAAGGCGGCUACCUGGACCGAUAUUGACGCUGAGACGCGAAAGCGUGGGUAGCAAACAGGAUUAGAUACCCUGGUAGUCCACGCCGUAAACGAUGAGUACUAGGUGUUGCGGGUAUUGACCCCUGCAGUGCCGCAGCUAACGCAUUAAGUACUCCGCCUGGGAAGUACGGUCGCAAGACUA